AUACGGAGGGUGCAAGCGUUACUCGGAAUCACUGGGCGUAAAGCGCGCGCAGGCGGUCUUUUAAGUUGGAUGUGAAAGCCUACGGCUCAACCGUAGAACUGCAUCCAAAACUAUUAGACUAGAGUGUGGGAGAGGAAGAUGGAAUUAGUUGUGUAGGGGUAAAAUCCGUAGAGAUAACUAGGAAUACCAAAAGCGAAGGCAAUCGUCUGGAACACUACUGACGCUGAGGCGCGAAAGCGUGGGGAGCAAACAGGAUUAGAUACCCCAGUAGUCC
rnacentral:rRNA from 1 species